rnacentral:ncRNA from 1 species
GCGUGUACCCGGGGUAGGUGAAAUUCCUAGCCGGCGGUGAAAGUCCGCGACCCGGCCCGCUUCGACAGGGGUCGGUUGACUCGGUGAGAUUCCGAGACCGACGGUUAAAGUCCGGAUGGGAGGUUGCACGC